rnacentral:rRNA from 1 species
UUUAUGGAGAGUUUGAUCCUGGCUCAGGAUGAACGCUGGCGGCGUGCCUAAUACAUGCAAGUCGAGCGAACGGACGAGAAGCUUGCUUCUCUGAUGUUAGCGGCGGACGGGUGAGUAACACGUGGAUAACCUACCUAUAAGACUGGGAUAACUUCGGGAAACCGAAGCUAAUACCGGAUAAUAUUUUGAACCGCAUGGUUCAAAAGUGAAAGACGGUCUUGCUGUCACUUAUAGAUGGAUCCGCGCUGCAUUAGCUAGUUGGUAAGGUAACGGCUUACCAAGGCAACGAUGCAUAGCCG